rnacentral:misc_RNA from 1 species
GCUGGACCUCCCUCAUGUACUUCAUCAAUUGUUCUUCACUCAUCUUUCUGAAGCCCAAUUUCUUGGUCCAAAUUGAUUCAGCAUCCUCGGCUGCCGGGAGUACAAGGUUUUGCACAUUUAGGGAAGAAAGUAGCCGCUCUAUACAGGAAAACAAUACUUGGAAGUAACCCUUGCCCUGGUGUUCUCUACUUGUGGCAACAAUAGGAAGCUCGGCAACUUCACGACCAAAGAUCCUAAGAAGACCAGCCGAUACAACUAUUGACCUCACGAUUAAAACAACACAAU